rnacentral:tRNA from 1 species
GCCUCUAUAGCUAAGUUUCAGAGCGCCUGUCUCUUAAACAGAAGGUCUGCAUCUCUAUUGCGCAUGGAGGCA